rnacentral:rRNA from 1 species
GGGCGAAAGCCUGAUGCAGCCAUGCCGCGUGAAUGAUGAAGGCCUUAGGGUUGUAAAAUUCUUUCGCCAGGGAUGAUAAUGACAGUACCUGGUAAAGAAGCCCCGGCUAACUUCGUGCCAGCAGCCGCGGUAAUACGAAGGGGGCUAGCGUUGUUCGGAAUUACUGGGCGUAAAGCGCACGUAGGCGGACUUUUAAGUCAGAUGUUAAAUCCCGGGGCUCAACCUCGGAACUGCAUUUGAAACUGGAAGUCUAGAGACCAGGAGAGGUUAGCGGAAUACCGAGUGUAGAGGUGAAAUUCGUAGAUAUUCGGUGGAACACCAGUGGCGAAGGCGGCUAACUGGACUGGUACUGACGCUGAGGUGCGAAAGUGUGGGGAGCAAACAGGAUUAGAUACCCUGGUAGUCCACACCGUAAACGAUGAGAGCUAGUUGUUGGCAGGCAUGCCUGUCGGUGACGCAGCUAACGCAUUAAGCUCUCCGCCUGGGGAGUACGGUCGCAAGAUUAAAACUCAAAG